rnacentral:misc_RNA from 1 species
GAUGAAGAACGCAGCGAAAUGCGAUAAGUAAUGUGAAUUGCAGAAUUCAGUGAAUCAUCGAAUCUUUGAACGCACAUUGCGCCCCUUGGUAUUCCGAGGGGCAUGCCUGUUCGAGCGUCAUUGCUGCCCUCAAGCACGGCUUGUGUGUUGGGCCCCGUCCUCCGAUCCCGGGGGACGGGCCCGAAAGGCAGCGGCGGCACCGCGUCCGGUCCUCGAGCGUAUGGGGCUUUGUCACCCGCUCUGUAGGCCCGGCCGGCGCUUGCCGAUCAACCCAAAUUUUUAUCCAGGUUGACCUCGGAUCAGGUAGGGAUACCCGCUGAACUUAAGCAUAUCAAUAAGCGGAGGA